rnacentral:rRNA from 1 species
GACAGAGGCCUCAAGCGUUAGGCGGAAUCACUGGGCUUAAAGCGUGUGUAGGCGGAUCGUUAAGUGUCUUGUGAAAUCCCACGGCUCACCCGUGGAACUGCUGGGCAUACUGGCGAUCUUGGGCCAACUAGGGGCAACUGGAACAAGCGGUGGAGCGGUGAAAUGCGCAGAUAUCAGGAGGAACACCGGUGGCGAAGGCGGGACUCUGGGCCGAUACUGACGCUGAGGAGCGAAAGCGUGGGGAGCGAACAGG